rnacentral:lncRNA from 1 species
AUGAUUAAUACUUUGCCUUUAUUUUAGUUCUGUAAAAUAAUUAUUAUACUAGUGCAGAGUCUGCGCAUCGCAGCGGAUAGUUAAUUAAAAUAUAUAAUUAUUAAAAUUUUACGAUUAAAAAUUUAUUUAGUAUGUUAAAAAAGUAAUUUUUAUUAAUAUUUUCUUAAUUUUUGAAUAGUUAUAUUAUUCUAAUAAUUUUAUUUAAAAAUUAAUCAAAAUUAAUAGUUUGAAAAACUGUUCAAUAAAUAACUUUUUUAACUAAAAAAUAAAAAUAUGAAUGUAUCGCUUAAUUGCUCAAAAUUAAUUUUUGUAAAAUAUAAAAUUAAUUUAAACUUUCAUCAAUAUUUCUUUUAUUUUUUAAUCUGCAAUCUAUAUCUAAAUACCAAAUAUUAUAAAAUAAAAUUUUAUAUUUAAUAUAAAUAGUUUAAACUAUUAAAAAAUUAUUUAUAUAUUUUAAAUUUUUAUAAUAACAAAUAAAAAAUAAAAUUGGACUUAAAAAAAGAUUAUAAAUUUUUUUCCCAUAUUUAAAGAGAGAAAGGGUAGGAAAGGGGAGAGAAAAAAAGGGCAGGGGAAGAGAAAGAGAGGAAGAGGGUGUGAAGAGAGAGGGUAAGCUGGCAGGGGAGGGAAAGGAAGAGAGGCUCGGGUGGAAGAAGGGGAAGAGAGAGGGGCUCGGGUGAGAGAUAGCCUCGCCACGUAGAAUGAAGCAAAAAAUAGGGGUGCCACAUGUGAUCGAUGCCAAAUUAUAUAGUGUUCGUUUCUAAAAGUUUAAGUUAUUAGAGAACGAUGUUUAUAUAUUUUUAUAGUUAAUACUUUUUUUCACGUCUAGGCUCGAGAUUUUUCCUCAUGUCUGGACUCGAGAAUUUUUUUUUAAUGCCCCAUCACGUGGACUUGAAUUAAAUGAGAGAAAAUUAAUAAUAUUAGAAGGUUGGUGUGACUCGAACUGAAAAUCUCACGUUCUGAUAUCAAUGUGAAAUUUUUGUCCCUUCUUGAGAUAAGAAAAUGAGAAAAUUUUUAAGAUUCCAAUAUCAUAAUUACACGUUCUUCUAUAUAUACACACACGUGAAUUGAGGUGACGAUUUUGCCCCUUUUGAGGAUACGUGAGGACACGUCCUCUUAUGUACAUACGCGAAUCAAUGUGAGGAUUUUGUCCCUUCCCAAGAUAAGAAAAUGAGGAUUUUGUGGAAAAAAAUUUGGAUAGAUUUGGUAACUUUCCGAGGUAGAUUUGAAAAAAUUUGAUAUCUUUUCAAGAUUUAAUUAUAAAAUCUAGAUUUGUUAUUUUAUAGAGAUAAAAUAAUUUUGAAAUUUAAAAUAAAAAAUAUUAGAAAAACGUGGAGGCGCCACGUGUAUUUAAGAAACCGUUAUAUAUUUGUAAUAAGAAAAUAAGAAUUUUCUCGGAAAAGAUUUGAAUAGAUUUAGUAUUUUUCUAAUGUGAAUUUAGAAAGAUGUGGUAAUUUUUCGAGAUUAAUCAUGAAAUUCAAAUUUGAUAUUUUAUCGAACUAAGAUAAUUAUGGAAUUCAAAAUAAAAAAUACUGAAAAAAUGUGAAGGCGCCGCUUGUAUUUAAGAAACCGCUGAUUUAAAUAUUUG